AAUGGAAGUGGACUGAACAAGCUCAGUAACCUUAAAUACUUCUUUUAACCUUUUGCAGGGGGCUAGUGACAAUUCAGUAGACGCCGUCAAUCAAAUCAGGCAGAGUAAUCUUUAGAGGCCUUUUGGAUUAAUGAGGGAAGUUCAAGCAAAAAGACAAAAGCGUCGGAGAGCCCAUAGGGCUGUCAAGAUGGGCAUCCAAAAACUAGGCAAACAGAUCUAGAAGAUGAACAAUGGCUAUACAAUCAGUAUGAGUCACAGAUAGACCAUCAUGAACAGCAAGCACAAGCUUGAAAGAAUCGGGUGUGAACAGAAAAUUGCAUGGAAGAAUUUUGGAAGUUCUACCGUCAGGCCCUAGCUGCAAGCCUGGAGAAGGACAGUGGCAGCGUACCUCUCCUUUCACGACAUCACAGCCAUACUGACAGUUUGCCAUUGAACAAGAAAGAGCAUCUAGGGAGAAACAGUUACACAUUUAGACCAAAUAUAAGGACUCAGAAUCAUACAGGUCUGUCCUGAACAACGGAAUGUGUGCUCUGCUUAUUUUGCAUUUAAGCAGUAAACAGAGUCAACAAGCAUGAAGGGAAGACAAAGGAAGUUCAAACAGGUGCAAAAACCAGACGGGACUAUCCUUCCACAUAGAUUCUUUGGCUCCUGGUCUCAACUAGAAAUGUUUUUCCAAGCAGGGGACUGAAACUAUAAAAAGGAGGGUCAAACAACCCAUGCGCCCCCCUCUCUCUCAUUCCAUCACAUUCACUGCACCUGAAGAGACAAAGCAAUGGUUGGACUCUGGGUAAAAGGUCUUGAUCUGAGAGUUUGGUCAGUAAUCUGCUAUGGUGACACACUUUGCUUGAAUCUAAUACAGUUCAUUACAUUAGGCACCAGUAAGCACAUUAUCUUUAUUUUUCUUGUAACCACUUCUGACUUUAAUGUCUUAUUACUUGUACUCACUUAAAAUAUCUCUUUGUAGUUAAUAAACCUAUGUUAUUGUUUUAUCUAAUUAA